AAUCCCAUGGGAUUAUUUUUGGUCCCAUGGGAUAAUUGUAGUCCCAUGGGACAAAAAAAAUCCCAUGGGAUU
rnacentral:sRNA from 1 species